GCCUUUCCUCGUUUGAACCUCGCACUUCACUUUUAAGGCUAUGCCAUCCUAAGGUGCUGCUAAAUGGAUGGAUCUUAUCAAUGUCCAUGAAUGAUAAAUCAUAGAUCGAACCGCCGAAUCAAAAAAAUUGGGUGCUAUCAUAAAGCUUUUUAUCGGCUAAGUUUACGUUGAGAUAAGCGGACUCGAACCGCUGACAUCCGCCGCAGGGUAAACCACCGCCUCUCAGGUCCCCCG
rnacentral:lncRNA from 1 species